UGGGGAAUUUUGGACAAUGGGGGAAACCCUGAUCCAGCCAUCCCGCGUGUGCGAUGAAGGCCUUCGGGUUGUAAAGCACUUUUGGCAGGAAAGAAACGUCAUGGGUUAAUACCCCGUGAAACUGACGGUACCUGCAGAAUAAGCACCGGCUAACUACGUGCCAGCAGCCGCGGUAAUACGUAGGGUGCAAGCGUUAAUCGGAAUUACUGGGCGUAAAGCGUGCGCAGGCGGUUCGGAAAGAAAGAUGUGAAAUCCCAGAGCUCAACUUUGGAACUGCAAUUUUAACGACCGGGCUAGAGUGGGUGAGAGGGAAGUGGAAUUCCGCGUGUAGCAGUGAAAUGCGUAGAUAUGCGGAGGAACACCGAUGGCGAAGGCAGCCUCCUGGGAUAACACUGACGCUCAUGCACGAAAGCGUGGGGAGCAAACAGG
rnacentral:rRNA from 1 species